CUACGGGAUGCUGCAGUAGGGAAUAUUGCGCAAUGGGCGAAAGCCUGACGCAGCGACGCCGCGUGAGUGAUGAAGGUCCUCUGGAUUGUAAAGCUCUGUAAGGAGGGAAGAACCGCCUGGUGUAACGGCCAGGUCUGACGGUACCUCCAAAGUAAGCACCGGCUAAAUAAGUGCCAGCAGCCGCGGUAAUACUUAUGGUGCGAGCGUUGUCCGGAAUGACUGGGCGUAAAGGGUGCGUAGGCGGACUUUCAAGUCAGGUGUGAAAUCCCCGGGCUUAACCUGGGAACUGCGCUUGAAACUGGAAGUCUAGAGUAUGUGAGGGGUUAGCGGAAUUCCCGGAGUAGCGGUGAAAUGCGUAGAGAUCGGGAAGAACACCGGUGGCGAAGGCGGCUAACUGGCACAUGACUGACGCUGAGGCACGAAAGCGUGGGGAGCGAACGGGAUUAGAUACCCUAGUAGUC
rnacentral:rRNA from 1 species